AUACUAUGACGAGGGCAAGCUUCAGUCAACUCAUUUAAUCUUUCCCAAGCUUCAACAAUUGACUCCUCAUCCUUUUGACUGAAGAUCUAGAUGAGGUGUCUAUAGUGC
rnacentral:snoRNA from 1 species